AAGCACGAAAUGUUCUGUUUUGAGAAAACAGUAUUUAAAACAUUUGAACUUUUGCUUGAAUAUCUUAUAUUUCGAAAAACAGUAUAAACUGUACGGUCUAAAUUUAGUUUGCACGGUCUAAAUUUAGUUUGCACGAAAGUUGUAAACAACACCAUAUAAGGACAGACAUUCCAUAUUUGGAAAAACGAACGUUACGGGGCAAAUAUUCAAA